GACGAACGCUGGCGGCGUGCCUAAUACAUGCAAGUAGAACGCAGUUGCGAACGGGUGAGUAACGCGUAGGUAACUGCCUCAUAGCGGGGGAUAACUAUUGGAAACGUUAGCUAAUACCGCAUACUGUGGGAUGGACCUGCGUUGGAUUAGCUAGUUGGUGAGGUAAAGGCUCACCAAGGCGACGAUACAGAGCCGAGCUGGGAGGGUGAUCGGCUAACCUGGGAAUGGGACACGGCCCAGACUCCUACGGGAGGCAGCAGUAGGGAAUCUUCGGCAAUGGACGGAAGUCUGACCGAGCAACGCCGCGGGAGUGAAGAAGGGUUUCGGGUCGUAAAGCUCUGUUGUUAGAGAAGCGGUAACUAACGAGAAAGGGACGGCUAACUACGUGCCAGCAGCCGCGGUAAUUC
rnacentral:rRNA from 1 species